AAUAAAUUUCCAACGUCUAACACACAUUGUUUACGGCACGGACUACGAGGGUAUCUAAUCCUCUUCGCUACCCAUGCUUUCGUUCCUCAGUGUCAGUAAUGAUCCAGAAAGCUGCCUUCGCAAUUGGUAUUCUUUCUAAUAUCUACGAAUUUCACCUCUACACUAGAAAUUCUGCUUUCCUCUAUCAUACUCUAGCUGAAAAGUUUUGAUGGCAGUUCCAGAGUUAAGCUCUGGGAUUUCACCACCAACUUUUUCAACCACCUACGAACUCUUUAAGCCCAGUAAUUCCGAACUACGCUAGGUCCCUUCGUAUUACCGCGGCUGCUGGCACGAAGUUAGCCGGACCUUCUUAUUCGGGUACAGUCAUUUUCUUCCCCGACGAAAGAGCUUUACAACCCAAAGGCCUUCUUCACUCACGCGGCAUCGCUGCAUCAGAGUUUCCUCCAUUGUGCAAGAUUCCCCACUGCUGCCUCCCGUAGGAGUUUGGGCCGUGUCUCAGUCCCAAUGUGGCUGAUCAUCCUCUCAAAUCAGCUAUUGAUCAUAGUCUUGGUAGGCCAUUACCCUACCAACAAACUAAUCAAGUGCGGGCUCAUCCAAUGGUGCAUAAAGCUUUCUCCGUAAAGACUUAUCCGGUAUUAGCACAAGUUUCCUCGUGUUAUUCCAGGCCAAAGGGUAGAUACCCACAUGUUACUCACCCGUCUGCCACUAAGUAUUGCUACUUCGUUCGACUUGCAUGUGUUAGGCGUGCCGCCAGCGUACGUUCUGAGCCAGGAUCAAACUCU
rnacentral:rRNA from 1 species